GGGGGGGGGGGGGGUGUCCCCCCCCCGGGGGGAAAAAGGGAGAGAAAAAAAAGCCCCCCUCCGUGACCCCUUUUUUUUUAAAUUCCUUACACCCCAUAAACCAUUUAAAUUUUUUUAGGUGGGGGGAAAAGGGGGGGAGCCCUUUGAAGCACGGGGCCCCCCCUGCAAUUGUGGGAGGGGGCCCCUUUAAAUAACCCCCCCUUUAUACGUUUGAGUUUUUAAACGAAAAGGGCGAAAACGGGGUUUUGGAACAGGGUUUUGGGGGAAGUUUGGAUGGGGGGGUUUUCCUUCCAAAAGGGAAAGGGAGGAGCCCGGAAGGUUUGCUAAUCCCGUUCGGAAUUGUGAAGGUUAGUGCCAUGGUAUAAGCAAACUUUAACUGCGAGACAGCCAAGUUGAGCAGGUACGAAAGUAGGUCAUAGUGAUCCGGUGGUUCUGAAUGAAAGGGCCCAUCGCUCAACGGAUAAAAGGUACUCCGGGGAUAACAGGCUGAUACCCGCCCCAAGAGUUCAUAUCGACGGCGGUGUUUGGCACCUCGAUGUCGGCUCAUCACAUCCUGGGGCUGAAGUAGGUCCCAAGGGUAUGGCUGUUCGCCAUUUAAAGUGGUACGCGAGCUGGGUUUUAGAACGUCGUGAGACAGUUUCGGUCCCUAUCUGCCGUGGGCGUAGGAGAAUUGGUUGGGGCUGCUCCUAGUACGAGAGGACCGGAGUGGACGCACCACUGGUGUUCCGGUUGUGUCGCCAGACGCAUUGCCGGGUAGCUAAGUGCGGAAGAGAUAAGUGCUGAAAGCAUCUAAGCACGAAACUUGCCAAGAGAUGAGUUCUCCCAAUCUAAGAGAUAGUAAGGGUUGUUGUAGACUACGACGUAGAUAGGUCUGGUGUGUAAGUGUAGUGAUACAUUGAGCUAACAGAUACUAAUUGCCCGAGAGGCUUAACU
rnacentral:rRNA from 1 species